rnacentral:rRNA from 1 species
CACGUAGGGGGCAAGCGUUGUCCGGAAUCAUUGGGCGUAAAGAGCUCGUAGGCGGCUCAGUAAGUCGGGUGUGAAACCCCCAGGCUCAACCUGGGGACGCCACCCCGAUACUGCUGUGGCUAGAGUCCAGUAGGGGAGUGUGGAAUUCUCGGUGUAGCGGUGAAAUGCGUAGAUAUCGAGAGGAACACCUGCGGCGAAGGCGGGUUGCUGGGCUGACACUGACGCUGAUGCGCGAAAGCCAGGGGAGCGAACGGG